rnacentral:rRNA from 1 species
GUGGGGAAUAUUGGACAAUGGGCGAAAGCCUGAUCCAGCCAUGCCGCGUGUGUGAAGAAGGUCUUCGGAUUGUAAAGCACUUUAAGUUGGGAGGAAGGGCAGUAAGUUAAUACCUUGCUGUUUUGACGUUACCGACAGAAUAAGCACCGGCUAACUUCGUGCCAGCAGCCGCGGUAAUACGAAGGGUGCAAGCGUUAAUCGGAAUUACUGGGCGUAAAGCGCGCGUAGGUGGUUCAGCAAGUUGAAGGUGAAAUCCCCGGGCUCAACCUGGGAACUGCUUUCAAAACUGCUGAGCUAGAGUACGGUAGAGGGUGGUGGAAUUUCCUGUGUAGCGGUGAAAUGCGUAGAUAUAGGAAGGAACACCAGUGGCGAAGGCGACCACCUGGACUGAUACUGACACUGAGGUGCGAAAGCGUGGGGAGCAAACAGGAUUAGAUACCCUAGUAGUCC